rnacentral:rRNA from 1 species
GAGUUGAUCAUGGCUCAGGAUGAACGCUAGCUACAGGCUUAACACAUGCAAGUCGAGGGGCAGCAUUGGGGUAGCAAUACUCAGAUGGCGACCGGCGCACGGGUGAGUAACACGUAUCCAACCUGCCGCUUACUCGGGGAUAGCCUUUCGAAAGAAAGAUUAAUACCCGAUGGUAUAAAGAGUUCGCAUGUUCUCUUUAUUAAAGAAUUUCGGUAAGCGAGUGGGGAUGCGUUCCAUUAGAUAGUUGGCGGGGUAACGGCCCACCAAGUCUACGAUGGAUAGGGGUUCUGAGAGGAAGGUCCCCCACAUUGGAACUGAGACACGGUCCAAACUCCUACGGGAGGCAGCAGUGAGGAAUAUUGGUCAAUGGACGCGAGUCUGAACCAGCCAAAAGUAGCGUGAAGGAUGACUGCCCUAGUGGGUUGUAAACUUCUUUUAUAAGGGAAUAAAGUGAGGGACGUGUCCCUUUUUGUAUGUACCUUAUGAAUAAGGAUCGGCUAACUCCGUGCCAGCCGCAGC